GAUGAAGAACGUAGCGAAAUGCGAUAAGUAAUGUGAAUUGCAGAAUUCAGUGAAUCAUCGAAUCUUUGAACGCACAUUGCGCCCGCCAGUAUUCUGGCGGGCAUGCCUGUUCGAGCGUCAUUACAACCCUCAGGCCCCCGGGCCUGGCGUUGGGGAUCGGCGAGGCGCCCCCCGCGGGCACGCGCCGUCCCCCAAAUACAGUGGCGGUCCCGCCGCAGCUUCCAUUGCGUAGUAGCUAACACCUCGCAACUGGAGAGCGGCGCGGCCAUGCCGUAAAACACCCAACUUCUGAAUGUUGACCUCGAAUCAGGUAGGAAUACCCGCUGAACUUAAGCAUACCAAUACGCGGAGGA
rnacentral:misc_RNA from 1 species